UACGUAGGGUGCAAGCGUUGUCCGGAAUUAUUGGGCGUAAAGAGCUCGUAGGCGGUCUGUCACGUCGGCUGUGAAAACCCGAGGCUCAACCCCGGGCCUGCAGUCGAUACGGGCAGACUAGAGUGCGGUAGGGGAGACUGGAAUUCCUGGUGUAGCGGUGAAAUGCGCAGAUAUCAGGAGGAACACCGAUGGCGAAGGCAGGUCUCUGGGCCGAUACUGACGCUGAGGAGCGAAAGCGUGGGGAGCGAACAGG
rnacentral:rRNA from 1 species